rnacentral:rRNA from 1 species
AUUGAACGCUGGCGGCAGGCCUAACACAUGCAAGUCGAACGGUAACAGAAAGCAGCUUGCUGCUUUGCUGACGAGUGGCGGACGGGUGAGCAAUGUCUGGGAAACUGCCUGAUGGAGGGGGAUAACUACUGGAAACGGUAGCUAAUACCGCAUAACGUCGCAAGACCAAAGAGGGGGACCUUCGGGCCUCUUGCCAUCGGAUGUGCCCAGAUGGGAUUAGCUUGUUGGUGGGGUAACGGCUCACCAAGGCGACGAUCCCUAGCUGGUCUGAGAGGAUGACCAGCCACACUGGAACUGAGACACGGUCCAGACUCCUACGGGAGGCAGCAGUGGGGAAUAUUGCACAAUGGGCGCAAGCCUGAUGCAGCCAUGCCGCGUGUAUGAAGAAGGCCUUCGGGUUGUAAAGUACUUUCAGCGGGGAGGAAGGGAGUAAAGUUAAUACCUUUGCUCAUUGACGUUACCCGCAGAAGAAGCACCGGCUAACUCCGUG